rnacentral:lncRNA from 1 species
CUCAUCUUACUUCCAUGGUCCAGCUCAAAUGGGCAUUUUCUGUUUGAAGCUUUAGGGUCUUCUGUAGGUCAUUAGUUGUUCUGUUACACAGGCAACAGGCACUACACCAGCUACCAUGUUUUAACUCAUUAACUUCUGUGUUACUACUAUUAGAUGUUCCCUAGCACAUAACAGAACUCCUAGAAUAUAUUAGUGAAUUUCUUAAUGAAUAAAUAAUUGAACUGAUAGACUUGGACUUCAUAAAUUUGUAGCAGUUUGAACAUUUUAUACAACCAAUAUGAAAUAUAUAUAUAUAUAUAUAUAUAUAUAUAUAUAUGUAUAUAUAUAUAUAUAUAUGAUAUUCCUAGAUGGAUAUUUAAAAUAGUGAAAAAUCAAAAAACUAUUUGAAUGUCCAACAAUCAUGGUAUAAUAUCUAAGUGUAUGAUGUAGAUAGCUAGAUGAGGCAGCCUUUAAAAAUAUUACUGCUGAAACAUUCCUAAGACUGAGCAAAUGUCUAUGCUAUAAUAUUAAGUAAGCAAUAUUAUAUACAAUAAUAUUAUAUACUAGUUCAAGAAUAUUAAAAUGCAUAUAAACUUAUGCACACAAAAAGUAGAGAUAAAAAUGUUAACAGUGGUUAUAUUAGUAUAGUAUGGCUUAUAAAUGAUAAAGAAAAGAGAUGAUUAAUAAAAGUUGAUGACAGUAUCAGCAUAUAGCAGAAAGUAGAAUGAGUAAAAAUAGCAUAUGAGAGCAAGUAAAAUAAUAAAAAGUAACCUAAUUAUUAGAGUAUUUUUUUCCAAGUGUGGCAGAGACCCCUGGUCACACUUGCUUUUCUUGCUGGGCCCAGCUGGACUAUAUUUCCCAGCUGCUACUGUAGCCCAGAUAAUAGAAUGUGAAAAAUGAUGUGUUCUCUAUUAGACUUGAACCAUCAGAAGCUUCUAUGAAUGACCCUCUGUGCCCUUUUCCCUCCUAACUUGAUGCAGAUGUGAGCAAGGUGGCCUAGAACUUGUGUGCUGAAGAAGGAAACUUGGUCCUUGGGUCACCAUUUGGAGGAGAGCUGCAAACUGAAUGGAAAUACUCUUUCUGUACCUUUUAUAAGUGAACAAUUAAUGUCUAUUUGUAUACAGCUAUAGGGACUUUAUAUUACACCACAGUCUCUGAUAGAAUGUAAAAGAGCAAAAUAAGUAAGCAACAAAUGUGUAAGACCAUAGCUGGAUUACUACAGAAGUACAGAUAUAUCUGAAAAUGUUCACCACCUUCAGAAUUCUUAUGGUAAAGUCGGAGGAGUAUUAUAUUCACAACGAAGGUAUCAGUCCUCAGAGUUGUAGAUAAUAAGUACUAAAUUAAUGGUGCAAGCAAUAAAUGCUACUUUAGCAAUCAGAAUCCCCUUGCCAUAAGAAAAAAUAAUAAUAAACUGAGAUAAAGCGGCCAAUUCAAUAACAAGGGGGUUGGUUAGCUAGAUGAGAGAUAAAAUGGAAAUUAUCAAUUUCAUUUCAAAUUGCUGUGAAUAUACAUGGUUAGAGCUAGUAAAACUUUCAAAAGACACAGGCUGGGUGAGGUGGCACAUGCCUGUAAUCCCAGAGACUUGGGAGGCUAAGGCAGGAGGAUUGCAAGUUCAGAGACAGACCCAGCAACUCAGUGAGAACCUAAGUAACUUAGCAAGACUCUGUCUCAAA